UUGUUUGGGGAAAGACGGUAUUGCACCCUAAGUACCUAUAAUUGUGAAUGCUAGUCAUUCUGUGUUGUUUGGGGAAAGACGGUAUUGCACCCUAAGUACCUAUAAUUGUGAAUGCUGGUCAUUCCAUAUCUGACUGAUACAAAAGGACAUUGUCUCAUUGGCAAUCAUACCACAUUCUUUAUUUUUAUAUGGAAUAUUGAAAAGGACUUUUAUUACUUUCUUAUAUUAAAUAAUAAAUAUGUUAAAGGUUGAUAAUGUAGCUGGUGUAUUUUUUCUUUUUUCAUUUUUUUUUCAAUUUGUUUUCCUCUUUUGUUUUUUAGUUUAAUAAAAAUUGAAUCUUA